CUGUGCUAGUCACUGCAGGUGUGGUUCUUUUACAUACGGCAUUUCAUGUUCUUUACUAGAAUGUUUCAACAGGGAGUUAAUUAACUGAGUCAAUUCACAUUUAAUAAAUAUGAUGCUUUGUUGAAAAGACAGUUAUAGGCAGAAUAUAAGCUGUGAAGACUUUAAAAACGGUUUCAUUACUGAAAUUUCUGUAGGGAAGAUACACAGUUUAUCUUAUUUAUUCCUCUCUUUUAAAGUAACAAAGAAACAAGACAGAAAAGGCAGAGGAUGGUUUCUGUUCUUCCUCUCCACUUGCAGGUGCCCUCACCUCCAGUAGCAUCCAUCCAGACACCAGCACUGACACUGGCCGUGCUCAGAACUGCCUCAGACCUGAAGACACAACUGACAAAUAGAAGGGGGCGACGCCCUGUUACAGCAGGUGCUCUCACUUUGUGGGUCCUUAUGUAACUGCACCAUGUUAAUCAGGAUCGCCCGUUCUACAUUGUGUAGCGCUGCUGCGGUGUCUCCUAGUUACUUGUUUCUUGUAAGAAUUCCGGUGACUGAGUUAGAAGCAUGCUUCCAAGCUGUCCGUGUCCUCGGCAUCCAGAAGCGGAGCCUGGAAGCUUCCGAAUUUCUCCAGAAUGCAGUCUACUUUCACCUUCGGCAGUACGUUUUGGUUACUGAGUCCCUCGAAUUCCCAUAUGAAUAGUAGCAGCAGCUAGUCAGUUACUGCAGAGGAGCCCGCUGGGAUUGUGAUCGAGACCACGUUGAGUAUACAGAUCACUCUGGGGAGCACUGCCAUCCCAAGAGCGCUGUCAUCUGAUCCAGGAAUGUGCGUGGUGUGUCUGUCCAGGGGAAAAGAGUACAAUUCAAAAAUAUAAAGAUUGUGAGCUAAUGAGAUAGACAAGACAACCGAACAUUUGUUAAAUAUCCUUUCAUGCCGGAAACAAAUGUAUUAUACACACAAAAAGCACACAAAUCACGGUAGUACUGCGGUUACAAACGUGGGUCCGAGUUCGAGUCCUGCUCUGGAGUGACCAGUCCUGUGAGAUGGAGAACUGGUAGGUCGGCU